GCAUAUCAAUAAGCGGAGGAAAAGAAACUAACAAGGAUUCCCCUAGUAACGGCGAGUGAAGUGGGAAAAGCUCAACUUUGUAAUCUGGCUGUCUUUGGCAGUCCGAGUUGUAGUCUAGAGAAGUGUUAUCCGCGCAGCCCCUUAUAGAUUUCGGUUGGAAUGCCAAGUCAAAGAGGGUGAGAAUCCCGUAUUUGAUAAGGUGGGCUUGUGCAUUGUGAUACAUUUUCAAAGAGUCGAGUUGUUUGGGAAUGCAGCUCAAAGUGGGUGGUAAAUUCCAUCUAAAGCUAAAUAUUGGCGAGAGACCGAUAGCGAACAAGUACCGUGAGGGAAAGAUGAAAAGCACUUUGGAAAGAGAAUGAAAUAGUACAUGAAAUUGCUGAAAGGGAAACGAUUGAAGUUAGACUUGCGCGGUUGGUAUUCAGCCUUGGCUUCGGUCUUGGUGCAUUUGCCUUCCAUUGCAGGCCAACAUCAGUUUACUUUGCUGUAAAAGGGUUGAAGGAAUGUGGCUUCCUCGGGAGUGUUAUAGCCUUCUUCUGGAUGCAGAAUCGUAGACUGAGGAACGCAGUGCGCCUUUAUUGGCAAAGCUUUUAAGCUUCGAGCACUUAGGAUGUUGGUAGAAUAGCUUUAAACGACCCGUCUUGAAACACGGACC
rnacentral:sRNA from 1 species